rnacentral:rRNA from 1 species
CCUACGGGUGGCAGCAGUCGAGAAUCAUUCACAAUGAGGGAAACCCUGAUGGUGCGACGCCGCGUGGGGGAUUGAAGGUCUUCGGAUUUUAAACGCCUGUCAUGGGGGAGCACAUUAAAAAGAUAGUACCACAAGAGGAAGAGACGGCUAACUCUGUAACAGAUGGCUAGGUAAUACAGAGGUCUCAAGGCGUGUUCGGGAUCUCUGGGCCUAAAGCGGGCCUUGGGUGUUUCGUUAGUCGUGUGUUAAAGGUUCGGGCUGCACCCCCGGACGGCUCAUGAUACUGCGAGACUAGAGUAAUGGAGAGGGAACCGGAAUUCUAGGUGAAGCAGUGAAAUGCGUAGAUAUCGAGAGGAACAC